rnacentral:rRNA from 1 species
AUUGAACGCUGGCGGGAUGCUUUACACAUGCAAGUCGAACGAGUGGCGGACGGGUGAGUAAUAUCUGGGAAAGUGCCCCAUGGCGGGGGAUAACUCCUCGAAAGAGAGCUAAUACCGCAUACUAUACGAGCGGCCGAUAUCGGAUUCGCGAGUAGAUGUGGGACAGGCUCACCAAGGCAACGACCCGUAGCUGGUCUGAGAGGACGACCAGCCACAAUGUGACUGAGAAACGGAACAGACUCAUACGUGAGACAGCAGUGGGGAAGUUUGGACAAUGGGAGAAGCCCUGAUGCAGCCAUCCCGCGUGUAUGAAGAAGGCCUUCGGGUUGUAAAGUACUUUAGGCAGGGAAGCGGUAUCCGCAGAAUAAGCACCGGCUAACUCCGUGCCAGCAGCCGCGGUAAUUC